GACGAACCGUGCGAACGUUGUUCGGAAUCACUGGGCUUAAAGGGCGCGUAGGCGGGCGACCAAGUCAGGGGUGAAAUCCCACGGCUCAACCGUGGAAGUGCCCUUUGAUACUGGUUGUCUCGAGGGAGGUAGGGGCGUGCGGAACUUCCGGUGGAGCGGUGAAAUGCGUAGAUAGUCGGAAGGAACGCCGGUGGCGAAAGCGGCGCGCUGGACCUCUUCUGACGCUGAGGCGCGAAAGCUAGGGGAGCAAACGGGG
rnacentral:rRNA from 1 species